CCUCCGGCUACAUGCUUCUUUGCACGGCCAUACUGCUGAUGCGAAAGCUAUGGAAUGUAAAGAAGUAUGUCGCUUGGGG
rnacentral:pre_miRNA from 1 species